rnacentral:rRNA from 1 species
AGAGUUUGAUCCUGGCUCAGAGCGAACGCUGGCGGCAGGCUUAACACAUGCAAGUCGAGCGGGCGUAGCAAUACGUCAGCGGCAGACGGGUGAGUAACGCGUGGGAACGUACCUUUUGGUUCGGAACAACACAGGGAAACUUGUGCUAAUACCGGAUAAGCCCUUACGGGGAAGGAUUUAUCGCCGAAAGAUCGGCCCGCGUCUGAUUAGCUAGUUGGUGUGGUAACGGCGCACCAAGGCGACGAUCAGUAGCUGGUCUGAGAGGAUGAUCAGCCACAUUGGGACUGAGACACGGCCCAAACUCCUACGGGAGGCAGCAGUGGGGAAUAUUGGACAAAGGGCGCAAGCCUGAUCCAGCCAUGCCGCGUGAGUGAUGAAGGCCCUAGGGUUGUAAAGCUCUUUUGUGCGGGAAGAUAAUGACGGUACCGCAAGAAUAAGCCCCGGCUAACUUCGUGCCAGCAGCCGCGGUAAUACGAAGGGGGCUAGCGUUGCUCGGAAUCACUGGGCGUAAAGGGUGCGUAGGCGGGUCUUUAAGUCAGGGGUGAAAUCCUGGAGCUCAACUCCAGAACUGCCUUUGAUACUGAGGAUCUUGAGUUCGGGAGAGGUGAGUGGAACUGCGAGUGUAGAGGUGAAAUUCGUAGAUAUUCGCAAGAACACCAGUGGCGAAGGCGGCUCACUGGCCCGAUACUGACGCUGAGGCACGAAAGCGUGGGGAGCAAACAGGAUUAGAUACCCUGGUAGUCC